rnacentral:lncRNA from 1 species
GUCACUGUAAUUAUACUUGUUCUCCGAGAAAUCUUUGUUGGCAGCCCCUUCCAACAAUCAACGGCUUACAGAGUUCACAUCAAGCCUUUUAAUUACAAUCCUUAAUGAAAUCAACAAGGAAUAAGUAAUUUUACUAUAAUUACAGCAUUUAUAACAAUGUCCAAACAUAAACAGAAGAUGCUCAGCUCUUAAUCAAGUCUGCCAAUCCCACAGUUCAUUCAAUCCGACUUUUGGCUUCAAAUAUAACAGCCUGACCAAUUAAUGACUAAGUCUGUAAGUCACAACUAUACAAGACAAGAACAAAACUCUUCUCAUCACCCAUUACUACACAGCUUUUUAUCAAACAUAAGGAUCACAAUUUCAUUUUAAUUAAAACUCAUGCUUAACAAUCAGGAUAUGCAAAUCAGCAAACAAAAAAACAUUAAACUUAGCAUGUAAGAACAUGAUUCACGUUUCACAUACUGUCAGUCCAAAAUGAACACGUUGUCAUUUGAUUCGAAUGAUGAAUACAUAAUCAGAAGAGUGAUUAAUACCUGGAAAGCAGUAGUAAGACUUUAAAAUAGCCAAAUAAAGGCCAGAAAUAACAUCAAAUUGGGGUUCAGCUAUUAAUUGAAGGAGGAACAGCAACAAACAGCAGAAAAUCCAAGCUGAAUCCACUUCGAAACCCAGAAAUGCAAGAGAAAACUACAGCUCUCUAAAUAGCUACAGCUUAUGAAUUGUUUUCAGUAUUUCCAUACCUAAGUUUUUUUUUGAAUUUUUUCGUUUUGAAUUUCAGGCUGCUAUUGUGUGUGUGUGUGUGUG